GCAUAGGGUUAACACCGCACCAUGUGUCUGUAGUCCGUUAAUACCCAUGACUUUCUUUCAAAUUUCCCAAUUUAGGCAGCUUGUAGAGUCUUUAGGAGGAUGCUUAAUCCCAAUGUCUUGGUUGGUUGCAUGAGAAACUUCUAUCUCUUAGAUGUGUUGGCGAAGUUCCUCCUCUGAUUUUUGUAGACUUGUCCUAAAGUUUCUCUCCGCUUUAACUCUUGUUGAGCGAUGCAUUAAAUGAUUCCUCCAACUUGUCUCCAUAUCAAUUGUUUUCUCCCUGCAGACUUCCACCACCCACUGCUGCUGUUGCCUCUGCUAAAGGUAGCCGUAUCCUGAUUCACUGCGUCUUCAUGUGUUGGGUAAGAAGUGUCAUUGGACUACUAACAAUGUAAACACCUUUAAAUGCUUGAUCUAAUUUACCCAAAUGGUUCAUCAGUUUAGGACAAAAAGUCAUUGACUUUGACAUUGUUGGGGUCAGUAAUCUGACCUCUAAAUGUUUGGGAAACAUGCAAAAGAUCGCAAGCUCUCUGCAUGACCCAACAGCAUCCAUGUUUGAGUUAUUUAAUUGCUCAAUUUUUAAAUCAGUCAAGAUUUUAUGAGCUGGGUCUUCUUCACACAACAGAGAACAAGGUAAAUUGAGUCGACUGGUAACAUGGUAAGGCAUUUCGUCCUUCCCCUUCUUCUCUGUGUGAGGAAAUCUGGCCACGGAUCCUGACUGAGUGGCAUACCAUGACUGUGCAGUUUCCAAAAUCAGACAAGGAUCCAUCUGAUUUUGUUACUCUGCCUGUCGUGAUAUGCGUUUAUCUUCCUCUGAAACAAAGGAUUGGAAUGGACAGGUUUGUAGUGUAGAUCACAUCACAUGUAGAUGUUGAAGCAUUUGUUUAAAUUGGAGUCAAGCAUUUUCAGGCGUCUGCUUUGUCAAUACUCUGGUGCCACGUCUUGCUAAACACACGAGAAGCUCUGAAUUGUGAAACUGCUGCCUCUUGCAGAUGUUACAACAGCAAUGGUUGUUGAAAGGCUGCAGGGAGAGAAAAGGAGAUCUGAGGACAGGAAAGUGGAAUUGAUUUCAUGCUUGGCAAAAUGAGGGUUUCAGCAGAGGACCUUUUUGUGGCGAGGCUACAGAAUCAGAAGGAACGUUUGUCUGGGCAACUGUGAGAUUUACAGUUUUUCAUGCAGCCAACCAAGACAUUGGGGUUAGCAUCAUCCCAAAAGGCUGUUUGCAACUGUCAGUGUAGGACAGGAAAGGCAGGUAUAGGUUAGGGAGGGCAUCCAUCGUGAGCUCUGACUGGAUGUGAGGACCUGUCACACUUGACCAGAGAUGAACACUGCAGCACAUUCCUGGAUCAGAGGACUCCAUGUUGGACACCACGACCUGGUGAUGACCUAGCCCAAGAUGAACCGACCCUUCUACGACGAGGACUUUGCCCGAGAUGAACCGACCCUUCUACGACGAGGACUUUGCCCGAGAUGAACCGACCCUUCUACGACGAUGACUUUGCCCGAGAUGAACCGACCCUUCUACGACGAGGACUUUGCCCGAGAUGAACCGACCCUUCUACGACGAGGACUUUGCCCGAGAUGAACCGACCCUUCUACGACGAGGACUUUGCCCGAGAUGAACCGACCCUUCUACGACGAGGACUUUGCCCGAGAUGAACCGACCCUUCUACGACGAGGACUUUGCCCGAGAUGAACCGACCCUUCUACGACGAGGACUUCGCCCGAGAUGAACCGACCUUUUCCACCUCUUUUUCACGGGAUGUCGUCAGAUGUUGGACCUUGCCAAACUGUACACAUGGCUCAAUGGCUGCUACGUCACUCUGCCCGACAGGACAUGGUCACUGAGAUUUUUUCAGUUUUUUGUGAAAUGGACUUUAACCCCUCCUGUCCCCACUGACCCACAACCACACAUGACAAAACACUGUACAUGUGAUGCAUCACCACACUAAAAUAUGCAUGACCAAACAGCAUUGAUGUUUUAAUUUUUUAAAUCAGUCAAGAUGUUAUGAGCUGGGUCUUCUUCACACAACAGAGAACAAGGUAAAUUGAGUCGAGUCGUAACAUGGUAAGGCAUUUCGUCCUUCCCCUUCUUCUCUGUGUGUGAGGAAAUCUGGCCACAGAUCCUGACUGAGUGGCAAACCAUGACUGUGCAGUUUCCAA